UACGAAGGGGGCUAGCGUUGCUCGGAAUCACUGGGCGUAAAGGGUGCGUAGGCGGGUCUUUAAGUCAGGGGUGAAAUCCUGGAGCUCAACUCCAGAACUGCCUUUGAUACUGAAGAUCUUGAGUUCGGGAGAGGUGAGUGGAACUGCGAGUGUAGAGGUGAAAUUCGUAGAUAUUCGCAAGAACACCAGUGGCGAAGGCGGCUCACUGGCCCGAAACUGACGCUGAGGUGCGAAAGCGUGGGGAGCAAACAGG
rnacentral:rRNA from 1 species